rnacentral:rRNA from 1 species
UAUUGGUCGAUGGCCGGAAGGCUGAACCAGCCAUGCCGCGUGAAGGUCAGUGCCCUAUGGGCGUUAAACUUCUUUUGUGCGGGAGCAAUAAGGUCCACGUGUGGGCCGACGAGAGUACCGUACGAAUAAGCAUCGGCUAACUCCGUGCCAGCAGCCGCAGUAAUACGGAGGAUGCGAGCGUUAUCCGGAUUUAUUGGGUUUAAAGGGUGCGUAGGCGGGAUGCCAAGUCAGCGGUCAAAUACGGGGGCUCAACCUGCGUCCGCCGUUGAAACUGGCGUUCUUGAGUGGGCGAGAAGUACGCGGAAUGCGUGGUGUAGCGGUGAAAUGCAUAGAUAUCACGCAGAACCCCGAUUGCGAAGGCAGCGUACCGGCGCCCUACUGACGCUGAAGCACGAAAGCGUGGGUAUCGAACAGG